rnacentral:lncRNA from 1 species
UUACAACAACACUUAAAAAAAACUUUCUCACUGUUUGCCAACCAAACAAGUCUUUUAUGGGGGGGCAGAAAAGCAAGCUGAGUUGACAAAAAUUUGGAAACAACCUGACAUCAUAAUGCAGUUACUUCAGAUUCUUUGCUUUCUUCAAAAGCUGAUGUUAGGAAUAUAUUUACAUUGCUUGUCCUCCGCCUUUCCUGUUCAUUUCUUACAGGUAUUAUUCAUAUCUCUCGACAGAUUCUCAGAGGAGCAAUGGAGGAAUUAAUUAAGCAACAGAGGUAUAUACAUGUAAUAUUUUAUCCUUCUUCAUUCUGGAAAUUGUUUGAUUUUGUUUAUCAUCUUUUAAAUGAAUUGGAAUGGUUUAGUUGUAACUUUGAAAAUCCAUUGGUAUCUGAGUUUUGAAGAAGCAGGAGAUAUCAUUGACAAAGAAAAUAGGACAUCACGCACACUGUUUCUUUGAUAAAAGUUCACAAUAACUUCAAAUUUUUUCAAAUAAUUGAUUAUUAUCAAUUAUCUACAGAUUUUAGGCGAUAUUAUAUGCAUUUUUCUUUUACGAGUAAACUCACUAGGUUAAAAGCGUAGAUUAAAUACGGGUAUAGACGUUUAAC